UACAUGGGGUGCAAACGUUGCUCGGAAUUAUUGGGCGUAAAGGGCGUGUAGGCGGGACGGUAAGUCGGGCGUGAAAUCCCUAGGCUCAACCUAGGAACUGCACUCGAAACUACCAUUCUUGAGUGUCGGAGAGGAAAGCGGAAUUCCUGGUGUAGAGGUGAAAUUCGUAGAUAUCAGGAGGAACACCAGUGGCGAAGGCGGCUUUCUGGACGGAUAACUGACGCUGGAGACGCGAAAGCGUGGGGAGCAAACAGG
rnacentral:rRNA from 1 species